AGGGAAUAGAUACCCCGGUAGUCCACGCUGUAAACUAUGAAUGCUAGCUGUAAGGAGUAUCGACCCUUCUUGUAGCGAAAGCUAACGCGUUAAGCAUUCCGCCUGUGGAGUACGGUCGCAAGACUAAAACAUAAAGGAAUUGACGGGGACCCGCACAAGCGGUGGAGCGUGUUGUUUAAUUCGAUGCUAAGCGAAGAACCUUACCCAGGUUUGACAUCUUGCUAAUUUCUCCGAAAGGAGAGAGUGCCUUCGGGCCGCAAUGACAGGUGUUGCAUGGCCGUCGUCAGCUCGUGUUGUGAAA
rnacentral:rRNA from 1 species